rnacentral:rRNA from 1 species
UACGUAGGGUGCAAGCGUUAAUCGGAAUUACUGGGCGUAAAGCGUGCGCAGGCGGUUUUGUAAGUUUGUCGUGAAAGCCCCGGGCUCAACCUGGGAAUGGCGAUGAAGACUGCAAGGCUUGAAUCUGGCAGAGGGGGGUAGAAUUCCACGUGUAGCAGUGAAAUGCGUAGAGAUGUGGAGGAACACCGAUGGCGAAGGCGGCCUGCUGGGACGUGGCUGACGCUGAGGCGCGACAGCGUGGGGGAGCAAACAGG